rnacentral:rRNA from 1 species
AACGCGAAGAACCUUACCAAGGCUUGACAUCCCACUGACCGCACUAGAGAUAGUGUUUCCCUUCGGGGCAGUGGUGACAGGUGGUGCAUGGUUGUCGUCAGCUCGUGUCGUGAGAUGUUGGGUUCAGUCCCGCAACGAGCGCAACCCUUAUCCUUAGUUGCCAGCAGGUAAAGCUGGGCCCUCUAAGGAGACAGCCGGUGAAAGCCGGAGGAAGGUGGGGAUGACGUCAAAUCAUCAUGCCCCUUAUGUCUUGGGCUACACACGUGCUACAAUGGAUGGUACAAAGGGAAGCAAGACCGCGAGGUGGAGCGAAUCCCAGAAAGCCAUUCUCAGUUCGGAUUGUAGGCUGCAACUCGCCUACAUGAAGCCGGAAUCGCUAGUAAUCGCGGAUCAGCAUGCCGCGGUGAAUACGUUCCCGGGCCUUGUACACACCGCUCGUC